UUAUUUGUUAAAAAAUUUACCUGGUGCUAUGGUCAACUUGCUACUACACAAUAUUGAGAAAUGCUUAACUGAACCAAUGUAUCAAGUAUUUGAAUCAAUCGACAGUGAAAUAAACAAUAAAAAGAACAAUAAAUUUAGUAACAAUCCAGAUCAUAAUCUAUUAAAAAGAGAUUGUUUAUCAGAAACUGAACAAAUACAGUUAACAUCUUGUGAGGCAGUUAUGUUUUUGUUAAUGGAAUCA
rnacentral:lncRNA from 1 species